rnacentral:rRNA from 1 species
UAGUUCCAAAGGCAUCCACUUGCCGCCUUCCUAGUAACA